GGCCGAAUCGCCUGGGCUGGGCCUCCCGAGAGCCACAGUCAUCUUCAGUCCGCGGGCUAAGUUGCCGCCAUCUUCGUCCUGGAGAAACACUUUUUUGGGGGGAGCGCUGGCUUUUGCGUCAUCUCCUCCCGCGCCGAGCUCGCUCCAUCCUGGCGCAGUGGCGCCGGCUCGGCCCGGGAGGAGGGAGAAGGCGCGCGGGGGCGGGCGGCGGCGGGGCCGCGGGGCCCGGGGGCCCCCGCCCGGCUCCCCGGGCUCAGGCGCCUGCUCUUUCCUUUCUGUCCCCCUGUCCACGAUAUUUUGUUUUAAUCACUGAAGAGAAAAAUAAAAGUCAGACUGCGGACGGCAUGGCCGGUGAGGCUCCUCGCGGCCGCGCCGCCCGCACGCUCUGGCUCCGGGAAGCGUCCGAGUUGCAGGCGCCCGGGCAGAGGUCUCUACUGGUGCGAGGGUCUGGGCAGAGUCCUCUCAACUAAGGACCGAGCCACUUCGGAUGGAAGGUGGGGGUCCGCGGAGGAAGCUCGAAUUGGCUAGAGGAGGGAUGAGGUGACAUUUGGUCUCUGAAUGCGUCUCGGAUCCCGGACCGCGAGAUCCAUCGCUCCCAGUGCGUGCAGUUAUUCCGUCCUGCUGUGUGACACGGGAGAAUGGCGCGCACGCCUGUGCACCUGCAUCGACCGUGUAGCUGCCUGGGUGACAGCCACCCAUUUGUCUAUGUUUUCUUUCCUAUUCUAAAGUAAACGAUUAGAAGUGGCCUCAUAGAGUCUUAGGAAGAAACAGUAAGCCCUGUGCCACCCGGGGUCACUGCCUAGCCCUGCCCUCCGCGCGCACCGUCCGCGUCUCCGAGGGCUCCUCCUCGGACCUGGACCCUCUGGAGCGGCUUCGACCCUCCCUCUGCCCCCGCUGCCUGCGUCCAGACCCCCUCCCGGGUGGGCUCCUCCGAGGACCUCCGCAGCCGCGGGCGAGCUGGGUGCCUGCGAGUCGCCGCCGCAGUCUGAGCCUCUGGUGCCCCUUAGCGUUGGCUCUCGGAGUUCUGAGAAGGGAAAGGAGACAGACACUCUGGGAAAAUCUGGGGUCACCUCGAUUCCGGCUCCUACGCUGGAUGCCGUGGGCAAGCAUCGGUCUCCUUUGAUCUGAAGAUCCUGCCCACUCCGCCCCUUGCCCCUGCCAGACCCGCGGGAGCAGCAGGUGGCGUGGGUGCCAGACGCUGCCGGUGCGCACCGAGUGCAGCGCUGCCCCGGCUCGCCCCGGGGGUCGCGUGGGACAGCGGUUUGCGGUGUCGCCCUCUCUGCGGUGCUUUCCAAGGACCCUCAUGCCCCGCCCGGGUGCACAUUCACCACAUGGGUCUUACUAGGUGACCUCUUUCUAAGUAAAAUGCAUUGAGAAACCAAAGGGAUGGGGCAUCCGUAUCCAUUUUCCUUUAAGGAGCGCUGUGGGUGUUGGGGAUGCGGGAGAAGUAGGUGUUUUUUAAAGAGAAAAUUGCAAAACCUCUUGGGCAGGAUUCGACCUACUAGCCUCUUCUGCUGCAUAAUAAGGGUUCAUGGACUUCCUGAAAUUCCAUCAUGGAUCAUCUACAUCAGGUCAACCAUACAUGCAAUGGAACCUUCCAUCUUGGCAGGCUGCUUCAUGUGAUCCACACCCGGAGCUGAGAUUGAUCCACACCCUGGCUGAGUGUGCUGAAUGCAAGAGUGGUUGACCUGCAUGUGAAAAUCUGAGGCCAUCACCAGCAUUGGGGGAAUGGAUGCAGAGCUCUCAAUGAAUGGCAAGCAUCCAUGUAUCCUCCUUGUCAUCUAAACCCCUUCGAAAGACACAGGUUUACAUAAGCUGCCCUCUCCCCUCUACAAAUACAGACAAUCUCUGUAAAGUAGGUCUAUUUAUUGGCAAAUAACAGAAAAGUUGCUUAAAACUAAUUUCAGAAAAGAAAAAUGAUUAUUUUGUGUUCUAUUACCAAAACGUCCAGGAACGGAGCCGAGCUGGCUUUGUGUGUAUUUAUAUUUAACUCAGUCUCUCUAAUUCCCUCAGCACUGUGCUGGCUUCGUUUUUAAGGUCCAUGUUGUGGCUUCUGGAGAUACAAGGUUGAACAUAAGGUCCCUGUAAUUGAGGUAUCUUACUCCUACUGAAUCCGGCUUGGUCCUAGAGUCCAUCCUUGAACCAAUCAGCAUGACCAAGAGGAUGGAACAUGUUGAAGAGGUUAGUCUGGAGAAUGUGUUUUAUUCAGAAAUCCAGCAGUGAAGUUAGCUUUGCAGAAACUACAUGGGUUGAGGAGACCCGGAAUAAAAAGACGGGGUACUAUAAUCACAAGGAGAAAGGGGAUAGUGAGAAGAAAAAAAGAGUAUUUAUUAAAAUAAUAUAACCUACUUUUUCAUCUUGGAGUCCCAACGUCUGCCUCCAUGUCCAGGAUCUCUGAAUGAUAUGCCAUAACAUUGGGUACAGAUGCGACUUCUCACGGUCUGGCAACUGUAGAUAAGUAACAAGCCUGACUACUCCCAAACAUACCCAGCACAGCACUGUGGAACACGAACGGCCAUUUAUCAAAAGCGGAGAAACUUCCACUUCCAUUGUUGAAAGACAGGCUUCUUCCAGCUUGGAAAGCCAAAUAAAAUAUAAAAUAUAUCUCUGUGGCAGCUGUGACACACCACGGUAAGUCCCACAUUCCAAACUGCUCUUCAGGAUCCUGUCAAUUCAGAGCAACAGUGAAGAGGCUUUCUAGCUAAACUGAAAGAAGCAACUGUGGGAGUGAGGGGAAGGGAAGUGACUCAGGUCCACCAAAAGGGAGAGACCACAGUAAAUAUCUCAGGCGUGUAGUCAGGAGCCUCAAACAUUUACAGAGUAGAAGAUGGAAAGAGAACUAGAAAAAUGGCUGGCCUUUAUAAGGUCUGAAGCCUAAAUUUGAAGCAGAUUGAUCCCUGAUUAGAUUGUGGUGCUCUGUGUCUACCCUAACUGGCUACCUGGUACAAACGAAAACCUCCCAUGAGAAAUAUAACAUCACUUAGAUUUUAAAAUUAUCUCUAUAGUGUUUCACAUCAUCAUUUGGAAUGUAAUAAGCAAAUGAUCAAGUCUAUCAAAAGACAGCAUAACAGAAUUUUUGGAGAAAAAUCAAACAAUAAAAACAAAUCUACAGAAGAUCCAGAAAUUGGGCAUAAGAUUUCAGAUGCUUUUUAAUUGGCGUGUUCAAUAUGAUGAAAAGUUGUAUCAGAGAAACCCUAAAAUUGAAUCAACCAUAAAUUCUAGAACUAAAAUGACAAAAGUAAAAGUAAUAGAUGCAUGUAUAAAUAUCUAGAGAAAAUACAAAACAAUAGUAAAUAAAUGUAUUACCAAGCUAGUAUUUUUUCUGGUCAUUUUCAUAAGAUAUUGACCAAAGCCAAAACUCUUGCUCAGUUGUAAUCUCUGAAUUUGAAAUCUGGCUGGUGAAUGUCCAUUUCUUUGCUCAUAAGUAUCUAUGCUCAGGCCCAUGAACUGGAGGCAUUUAAUUGAGCCCAUACAACAGGGCAAUAUGAAUCAAUGGCAUGAAGUAAAGAGGUAUGGGUCUUCCUCUGACCCCCAGGCUCCAUGCCAGCAGCAUCCCAACAAUGAAGGCAACUGAUUCCCCAUCUGGUAGAGAUGGAUAACAGGAGGUGCUAAGGAUUGGCCUUGAGAAACAGGAUUCUCUCAGGUUCUAAAAUAUUAGGUUGGUGCAAAAGUAAUUCUGGUUUUCACCAUUACUUUC
rnacentral:lncRNA from 1 species